UACAUGGGGUGCAAACGUUGCUCGGAAUUAUUGGGCGUAAAGCGUCCGCAGGUGGCAGUUCAAGUCUGCUGUCAAAGACCGGGGCUUAACUUCGGAAAGGCAGUGGAAACUGAACAGCUAGAGUAUGGUAGGGGCAGAGGGAAUUCCUGGUGUAGCGGUGAAAUGCGUAGAGAUCAGGAAGAACAUCGGUGGCGAAGGCGCUCUGCUGGACCAUAACUGACACUCAGGGACGAAAGCUAGGGGAGCGAAUGGG
rnacentral:rRNA from 1 species